UACGGGGGAUGCAAGCGUUAUCCGGAUUUAUUGGGUUUAAAGGGUGCGUAGGCUGUGAGGUAAGUCAGCGGUGAAAUGCCCCCGCUCAACGGGGUGAAGUGCCAUUGAUACUGCCUUGCUGGAAUGCGGAUGCCGUGGGAGGAAUGUGUGGUGUAGCGGUGAAAUGCAUAGAUAUCACGCAGAACUCCAGUGGCGAAGGCGAUUCUCUGGACUGUAACUGACGCUGAGGCUCGAAAGCGUGGGGAGCAAACAGG
rnacentral:rRNA from 1 species